GACGAACGCUGGCGGCGUGCUUAACACAUGCAAGUCGAGCGGUAAGGCUCCUUCGGGAGUACACGAGCGGCGAACGGGUGAGUAACACGUGAGUAACCUGCCCUUCUCAUCGGAAUAAGCGUUGGAAACGACGUCUAAUGCCGCAUACGACUUCGGAAGGCAUCUUCUGAAGUGGAAAGCUCCGGCGGAGAAGGAUGGACUCGCGGCCUAUCAGCUUGUUGGUGAGGUAACGGCUCACCAAGGCGACGACGGGUAGCCGGCCUGAGAGGGUGACCGGCCACACUGGGACUGAGACACGGCCCAGACUCCUACGGGAGGCAGCAGUGGGGAAUAUUGGACAAUGGGCGCAAGCCUGAUCCAGCAACGCCGCGUGAGGGUUGACGGCCUUCGGGUUGUAAACCUCUUUCAGCAGGGACGAAGCGCAAGUGACGGUACCUGCAGAAGAAGGACCGGCCAACUACGUGCCAGCCGCCGCCGUAA
rnacentral:rRNA from 1 species